rnacentral:rRNA from 1 species
GACGAACGCUGGCGGCGUGCCUAAUACAUGCAAGUCGAGCGGAUGGAAGGAAGCUCGCUUCCUAAAGUCAGCGGCGGACGGGUGAGUAACACGUGGGCAACCUGCCCCUAAGAUCGGGAUAACUUCGGGAAACCGGAGCUAAUACCGGAUAUGAUUAUUUCUCACAUGAGAGAUAAUGGAAAGACGGUUUCGGCUGUCACUUAGGGAUGGGCCCGCGGCGCAUUAGCUAGUUGGUGAGGUAACGGCCCACCAAGGCGACGAGGCGUAGCCGACCUGAGAGGGUGAUCGGCCACACUGGGACUGAGACACGGCCCAGACUCCUACGGGAGGCAGCAGUAGGGAAUCUUCCGCAAUGGACGAAAGUCUGACGGAGCAACGCCGCGUGAGUGAAGAAGGUUUUCGGAUCGUAAAACUCUGUUGUUAGGGAAGAACAAGUACCAUAGUAACUGAUGGUACCUUGACGGUACCUAACCAGAAAGCCACGGCUAACUACGUGCCAGCAGCCGCGGUAAUAC